rnacentral:lncRNA from 1 species
UGUGGUGGAAUGGAAGGUAAAUGCUUAAGCUGCAGAAUAACAGGAGCAUGAUCUGAACCAUCCAGUUUUAAGCUUCUCCCACCACUCCAUCUCCCAUAGAGAAACAUCAACACUGGCAACAACUAGUCUGUCUUUUUGGCGCACCUCGGAACGCUUAAAACUUGAGAAGAAUGUCACACAUAUCUGUUCCACACUUUGCAAAUCCGUCACAGGUACUAUUGUCAUGCGAUCCAUCAGUAGCCCGACAAUGUCCAGUGCAGGGACCGGCAAUAAGAACAUGAUCAAUGCGACUGCCGUAGUUAAACAUGCCUGAGACCAGUAAGCCUCUGCUCUGGACAAGAUACUAAUAAGCACGUAUGAUUUGCCCAGACAAAAACCGUGAACAGUUACCUUUCAGGAUGAAACACGCGAAACGCGUCUGAAAACGCACCACCCUCACUCACCAGCAAUGAUGUAAGCCAUUGACGGCUCAUGUUAAAAUGAACAUGCUAGAAAGUACUAGAAAUCAGUGAGUGAUUUACGGAUUGGUAUCAAAUUUUGGGCCA